rnacentral:rRNA from 1 species
UACGUAGGGGGCAAGCGUUGUCCGGAAUCAUUGGGCGUAAAGCGCGUGUAGGCGGCCAGAAAAGUCCGCUGUGAAAACUCGAGGCUCAACUUCGAGCUGUCGGUGGAAACUUUCUGGCUAGAGUCCGGAAGAGGAGAAUGGAAUUCCUGGUGUAGCGGUGAAAUGCGCAGAUAUCAGGAGGAACACCAACGGCGAAGGCAGCUCUCUGGUACGUGAUUGACGCUGAGACGCGAAAGCGUGGGUAGCAAACAGG